CCAAUAAUAUAUCAACUUCGACAGAAUAGCUAAGUGGGUGUUACGUUCUGCAGCAUUGAAAUGGGGAUAGCAACAAGACAGCAAAGAGAAACAGUGCAAUAAAAACGCAAAUCAGCGGACAAUGAACGACGAUUCCAUGGUUCCAAAAUAGAUUUUAUAUAUGAAAAUUUACGAUUACAAAGAUGGAACUUCGAUGAGAAAAACU
rnacentral:lncRNA from 1 species